rnacentral:tRNA from 1 species
GUGGCACAAAGGGGUAGGGCAACAGCCUCAUAUGCUGGAGGUGGCGGGUUCAAACCCCGCC